UCCUGCAACUUUAGGCUGUGCACGCCAUAUGCAAGAACAAGACAAAGAAGAAGAAGAAGAAGAAUUGAAUUAUGCCGCUGUGGGUACAUAUGGCAAUAUAAUACUCUUGACUCUUUUGAACCAACCCAAGUAACUCCUGCAGUGGUCCUAUGGCUGGGAUGUGCCUCCUACUAGCACAACCAUCUUGCUUUGUAUACAGUACCAUCCAAACCUAUAGUGCCUGUUCACCAGUUUUUCCAGGGCUCCCUUAUGCUAUUCCUGUUCAAAUGCCAAUUUAAUCUAAAAAUAAAGUAAUUGAC